GAUGAACGCUGGCGGCGUGCUUAACACAUGCAAGUCGAACGAUGAAGCCCAGCUUGCUGGGUGGAUUAGUGGCGAACGGGUGAGUAACACGUGAGUAACCUGCCCUUGACUCUGGGAUAAGCCUGGGAAACUGGGGCUAAUACUGGAUAUGACUUCUCAUCGCAUGGUGGGGGGUGGAAAGAUUUAUUGGUCUUGGAUGGACUCGCGGCCUAUCAGCUUGUUGGUGAGGUAAUGGCUCACCAAGGCGACGACGGGUAGCCGGCCUGAGAGGGUGACCGGCCACACUGGGACUGAGACACGGCCCAGACUCCUACGGGAGGCAGCAGUGGGGAAUAUUGCACAAUGGGCGGAAGCCUGAUGCAGCGACGCCGCGUGAGGGAUGACGGCCUUCGGGUUGUAAACCUCUUUCAGUAGGGAAGAAGCGAGAGUGACGGUACCUCCAGAAGAAGCGCCGGCUAACUACGUG
rnacentral:rRNA from 1 species